GCCCUCGUAGCUCAAUGGUAGAGCGCGUCACUAGUAAUGACGAGGUCGUCGGUUCGAUUCCGCCCGAGGGCA
rnacentral:tRNA from 3 species